GGCCUCUAGCCGAGUUGGUUAGGUGGUCUGAGUAGUACUCCUUAGGUCCUGAGUUCGAAUCCCAGUGGGAGGCUA
rnacentral:tRNA from 7 species